rnacentral:rRNA from 1 species
UAGCUUGUUGGUGUGGUAACGGCACACCAAGGCUACGAUGACUAGGGGGUCUGAAAGGAUGAUCCCCCACACUGGUACUGAGACACGGACCAGACUCCUACGGGAGGCAGCAGUGAGGAAUAUUGCGCAAUGGAGGAAACUCUGACGCAGCCAUGCCGCGUGCAGGAUUGACGGCCCUAUGGGUUGUAAACUGCUUUUCUGUGCCAUGAACCUUCCCUACGUGUAGGGAACUGACAGUAGCACAAGAACAAGCAUCGGCUAACUCCGUGCCAGCAGCCGCGGUAAUACGGAGGAUGCAAGCGUUAUCCGGAUUCACUAGGUUUAAAGGGUGCGUAGGCGGGAGGAUAAGUCAGUGGUGAAAGCCUGCGGCUCAACCGUAAAAUUGCCAUUGAUACUGUCCCCCUUGAGUCCGGCUGUGGUGAGUGGAAUGAGUAAUGUAGCGGUGAAAUGCUUAGAUAUUACUCAGAACUCCAAUCGCGAAGGCAGCUCACCAAACCGGCACUGACGCUGAGGCACGAAAGCGUGGGGAGCAAACAGGAUUAGAUACCCUGGUAGUCCACGCUGUAAACGUUGAUCACUCGUCGUUGGCAAUACAUCGUCAGCGGCUUAGCGAAAGCAUUAAGUGAUCCACCUGGGGAGUACGUCAGCAAUGAUGAAACUCAAAGGAAUUGACGGGGGCCCGCACAAGCGGAGGAACAUGUGGUUUAAUUCGAUGAUACGCGAGGAACCUUACCUGGGCUUAAAUGUAGAGUG